rnacentral:rRNA from 1 species
UCCUACGGGAGGCAGCAGUGGGGAAUAUUGCACAAUGGGGGAAACCCUGAUGCAGCCAUGCCGCGUGUGUGAAGAAGGCCUUCGGGUUGUAAAGCACUUUCAGUUGUGAGGAAAAGUUAGUAGUUAAUACCUGCUAGCCGUGACGUUAACAACAGAAGAAGCACCGGCUAACUCCGUGCCAGCAGCCGCGGUAAUACGGAGGGUGCGAGCGUUAAUCGGAAUUACUGGGCGUAAAGCGCACGCAGGCGGUUUGUUAAGCUAGAUGUGAAAGCCCCGGGCUCAACCUGGGAUGGUCAUUUAGAACUGGCAGACUAGAGUCUUGGAGAGGGGAGUGGAAUUCCAGGUGUAGCGGUGAAAUGCGUAGAUAUCUGGAGGAACAUCAGUGGCGAAGGCGACUCCCUGGCCAAAGACUGACGCUCAUGUGCGAAAGUGUGGGUAGCGAACAGGAUUAGAUACCCUGGUAGUCCACACCGUAAACGCUGUCUACUAGCUGUGUGUGUCUUUAAGACGUGCGUAGCGAAGCUAACGCGCUAAGUAGACCGCCUGGGGAGUACGGCCGCAAGGUUAAAACUCAAAUGAAUUGACGGGGGCCCGCACAAGCGGUGGAGCAUGUGGUUUAAUUCGAUGCAACGCGAAGAACCUUACCUACACUUGACAUGC